rfam:Dipodomys ordii contig_63662, whole genome shotgun sequence.
GGUGGCUCAGUGGUAGAGCGCUUGCCUUGCAUGCCACAGGCCCUGGGUUCAAUUCCUCAGCACCA